UCUCUGGUAGUAUAUCGGUUAGUACACGCGCCUGUCAUUUACUGUAAAGUUAUCCGCGCGCGAAAGCUGGGCCCGACUCCCAGCCAGAGAG